rnacentral:tRNA from 1 species
UAAUAAGAAACAAAUUAUUGUAUUUAGUUUCGACCUAAAAAAUUGGUUAUUUAAAAAAUUAACCCUUAUUUU